GCAGUGACAGAGGGGUUUCUAAAGCCUGGUGAGUGAUGGGGAGAACCCGUAGCAGCUUUCAGCCAGGUCAGGAAGCAGCACAAGCCCUGAAGUUGCACGACGUAUUUGGGCCAUUUGUUCAAAACAUCUCAAUUGGGGAUAUAAUGAAAAAAAACCUCCUAUGUACCCCAAGGUAACAGGAGGAAAGGGAGAUGAAGACAACAGGGACGUACAAAGAAAAGCGUUAACGUACAGGCAGUUAGCAGAAAGUUAUCCCAACCAUCACUUCAGCCCGAGUACAGCUGUGCGCUGCCUCUGGCUUACAAGUGUUUUCCCCCUUCAGUUCCACCGGGAGUCCUACAGGUAUCAGGAAGGGGCAAUGAAGCGAAUUCCCCGCAGUUACUGCGCUACAAACCCAGCCUCCAGCGGAGCAGGACCCAGUGCACGUCAGAACAAGCUCACACUUCAGGGCAGAAUGGGGCCCUACCAAUGCACUUCACAGAAACGUAAAUCUGAUUUUAAGCUCCAGAGAAGGAACUGAGAGAGGCUGGGGAGUGUCCUCCUUGGAGAUCUUCAGGAGCCACCUGGACGUGGGGCAGCAGCUCUGGGUGGCCCUGCAGGAGCUGGGGCUGGACUGCACGGACCCAGAGGUGCCCCCAGACUCAACCAUUCCGUGUGACAAACCUUUAUUUCAAGCGAGCUUCCCGAGCAGCAGCAGCAAU